GCAGCAUGGUCUUAGCUUGCUAAGGCUGAUGGCGACCGGCGCACGGGUGAGUAACACGUAUCCAACCUGCCGUCUACUCUUGGCCAGCCUUCUGAAAGGAAGAUUAAUCCAGGAUGGGAUCAUGAGUUCACAUGUCCGCAUGAUUAAAGGUAUUUUCCGGUAGACGAUGGGGAUGCGUUCCAUUAGAUAGUAGGCGGGGUAACGGCCCACCUAGUCAACGAUGGAUAGGGGUUCUGAGAGGAAGGUCCCCCACAUUGGAACUGAGACACGGUCCAAACUCCUACGGGAGGCAGCAGUGAGGAAUAUUGGUCAAUGGGCGAUAGCCUGAACCAGCCAAGUAGCGUGAAGGAUGACUGCCCUAUGGGUUGUAAACUUCUUUUAUAAAGGAAUAAAGUCGGGUAUGCAUACCCGUUUGCAUGUACUUUAUGAAUAAGGAUCGGCUAACUCCGUGCCAGCAGCCGCGGUAAUACGGAGGAUCCGAGCGUUAUCCGGAUUUAUUGGGUUUAAAGGGAGCGUAGAUGGAUGUUUAAGUCAGUUGUGAAAGUUUGCGGCUCAACCGUAAAAUUGCAGUUGAUACUGGAUGUCUUGAGUGCAGUUGAGGCAGGCGGAAUUCGUGGUGUAGCGGUGAAAUGCUUAGAUAUCACGAAGAACUCCGAUUGCGAAGGCAGCCUGCUAAGCUGCAACUGAC
rnacentral:rRNA from 1 species